CUCGAGAGACCAAACUGGAAACCUCUUGAUGAACAGGAAGCCCCUCCUCCUUUGGGACCCUAGCUCCAUGAGCCUUAUGGGAAAUGUAGUCCUCGAUGAAUUUCUGCGGUGGACCCUGGGAAAUCUGACAGAAUCAAUGUUUCCAUACACGUGCACUGGGCAGGACGGGCAGUGUUCUGAGUGCUUUGGCUAGUUUGGCUCCAGCGUCCUGUGAAAACUGAAGAGCAAAGACCGGCUUAUUGGUUCAUGUGAAGGAAGUAAAACUGGUUUGAAUCAUGGCGUUCAUUACAGGGGGGUGCCAUCCAGGACUUCAUCCACGGAGGUGUUGUUCCAGAUGUUUGAGGAGAGAGGAACCUGUCACAUUCAAGGACGUGACCAUGGACUUAACCACAGAGGAGUGGGAGAGGUAACUGGACCCUGCACAGAGGGCUUUGUGCAAACAAAUGAGCUGGAGAUCCAUGGCAACCUGGUGUUAGUGGGUAAGAACAACUACUCUUUUGAGAAUUUUGGUUUCCUUGGUGGUUAAAAGCUGUGGGCUCCAAAAGUGUUACUAACCAAGGAGGGGCUUGGGAUUCAAAUCACAGAGUUUCUCAGUCACUAUUGAAGAAAGAAAAAUGUUGCUGCCUAAUAAAAAUCUGUUCCCCCUCCCCCACUUGUAUUUCUUUUCUUUGGAGAUAAAACUCACAGAACAUGAUAUCAACCAUUUUAAUUUGUAUGGUUCAGUGGUAUUUACUACAUCAAAGGAUUGCAUAAUUACCUUCUCUAUCAAGUUCCAAAACAUUUUCAUUGCCCCAAAAGAAGAUACUGCAGUUCUGCAUCCAGACCACUAUAAUAAAGCGAGUGUAA